AUUGAACGCUGGCGGCAGGCUUAACACAUGCAAGUCGAGCGGGGUGAUGGUGCUUGCACUAUCACUUAGCGGCGGACGGGUGAGUAAUGCUUAGGAAUCUGCCUAUUAGUGGGGGACAACAUCUCGAAAGGGAUGCUAAUACCGCAUACGUCCUACGGGAGAAAGCAGGGGAUCACUUGUGACCUUGCGCUAAUAGAUGAGCCUAAGUCGGAUUAGCCAGGUGGUGGGGUAAAGGCCUACCAAGGCGACGAUCUGUAGCGGGUCUGAGAGGAUGAUCCGCCACACUGGGACUGGGACACGGCCCAGACUCCUACGGGAGGUAGCAGUGGGGAAUAUUGGACAAUGGGGGGAACCCUGAUCCAGCCAUGCCGCGUGUGUGAAGAAGGCCUUAUGGUUGUAAAGCACUUUAAGCGAGGAGGAGGCUCUUUUGGUUAAUACCCAAGAUGAGUGGACGUUACUCGCAGAAUAAGCACCGGCUAACUCUGUGCCAGCCGCCGCGGUAA
rnacentral:rRNA from 1 species